rnacentral:rRNA from 1 species
CCUACGGGAGGCAGCAGUAGGGAAUAUUGGGCAAUGGGCGAAAGCCUGACCCAGCCACGCCGCGUGCAGGAAGGCGGCCCUCUGGGUUGUAAACUGCUUUUAACUGGGAAGAAAGAAGCCCAUGCGUGGGAAGUUGACGGUACCAGUUGAAUAAGCCACGGCUAACUACGUGCCAGCAGCCGCGGUAAUACGUAGGUGGCAAGCGUUAUCCGGAUUUAUUGGGUUUAAAGGGUGCGUAGGCGGUUUAAUAAGUCAGUGGUUAAAGGUAGCAGCUUAACUGUUUUACAUGCCACUGAUACUGUUGAACUUGAGUUGACAGAAGGCAGAUAGAAUUUCUGGUGUAGCGGUGAAAUGCUUAGAUACCAGAAGGAAUACCGAUUGCGAAGGCAGUCUGCUGCAGUCACACUGACGCUGAGGCACGAAAGUGCGGGGAUCAAACAGGAUUAGAUACCCUGGUAGUCCGCACAGUAAACGAUGAUUACUAGAUGUUGGCCAAGCCAGUGUCCAAGGGAAACCGAUAAGUAAUCCACCGNGGAGUACGCGCGACGAGUAACGUACAAUUAGAGUAGUUAGGCGUGAGAGNGCGACGGACGACGACGAGGGAGGAGG